GGGGAUGUGGCUUAGUGGUAGAGCCUCUGCUCUGAAUGCAGAAGGUCCCGAGUUCAAUCCCCGGCAUCUCCA